rnacentral:lncRNA from 1 species
UAUGAUACUCCACAAAUUGAUGAUGAUGAUGAUGAUGAUGAUUCCUCUGACACUUCUCAAGGUGAUGAGGGGUUUGACACCUUGCAGGUGGGGGAUGAUACACCAGAGCCAGAAUUGGCUGGAAGAUCAGUUCCAUUUGGUUUUCUGGAGGAGAGAGGUGGUCGAAUAACCCUAAAAGAAGAGACCAGCUCUUUUCAAGAACUUGCUGCUAAUGCUGGAGAGAAUGUUCAUGUAAAUGUGAAAGGGCAACCCGAGAGCAUAACUAUAGCUUCUGCAAAUGCCAAAACUGUGGAGAAAAUCCUUGAGGGAAGGGAAAGAACAGGGAGUUUUGGAGAGAAGGAGCAUGAGUUAUCAGUUACUGUUGAGAGUGAAGGAACAAAGGAAGGAGGCAUGAGCUAUUUACAGAAUAUGUAUGAAGCAGAUGUACAAGACAGGAAUGAGGAAGUUGAAAUGAAAGCAGAAGGUGACCUGUGUGAGGAGGAAUCUGAAGGUACACAGGAGGGGGAAGAUUAUGAGGAGGAUUAUGAUAGUUAUGAUGACUCUGACACUGAUUCUGACAGUGAAGAUGAAAUGGAUAUUUUUGAUUCACAUCACCAAUGUAUAAGUAAAGGUGACCAGCUGUUAAUGUCUGUAGAAGAUGUAGAAAGGAGCACUGAAAACAAUCAGAAUAUUGAUGACUACUGCUAUUCUUUAGGCCACAAGACAGGAUAUACUUUGCAAUUCCAGUCUAACCAUGAAAAUGGAAACCUAUCCUCAGUAAUAUGUGAAUCAAUGUCAAAUAUUUCUGAAGAAAGAUAUGUUGGUCUUUCAUGUACCAGUGAAGAAGCCAGACAGCAGGAAACAGAAGAUGAAUAUGGGACUUGUGUCAAAAGUGAACACAUGCCACAAAAUACUGCUGAGUCUAUUCGGUCUGAAAAUACUUUUGACACUAAAUGGAUGUCCACAAAGAGUGAGGAGAAUACUGAAACACAGUUUAGGGUUCCAGGUUCUCAGCUUCUUGAUGGUACUGUGAAAUCUGACAUUAGUGUGACAGCCUACCUACAGCAAGCUGAUGAUGCCCAAAGUACCUGGACAAAUUUGCUUGUCUCAGAAUUCUUUACUGAUAGCAUGAAUGAAGACAAUAAUACCAUGCCAAUGUUAGAUUCAAAUCAUGGUCAAAGACAGAGAGAGGCACUGCUUGCAGAGGAAAAAGUAUUAAAUUAUAUGGAACAGCUAAAGGAAAGCUCAUCCCAAAUGGACAAUAAAUUCCUUACAGAUACUCCUUAUGUGAGUGAUAAUAGUUCACUUAGGGACCCAACACAUCCAGGCACCAGUUGGAAGCAUGGUCAAAUAGAAAGAGGUUUUGAAAUUCUUACAGAAAAUAAAAAUAGAGUAAAUGUUAUGG